GACUUAACCGGUGACCUAGUGGUUAAAGAGUCCGCCUCGGAAGCGGAAAGACGCGGGUUCUAACCCUGACCGAGUCA